rnacentral:rRNA from 1 species
GACGAACGCUGGCGGCGUGCCUAAUACAUGCAAGUCGAGCGGACCGAACAGGAGCUUGCUCUUGUUCGGUUAGCGGCGGACGGGUGAGUAACACGUGGGUAACCUGCCCGUAAGACCGGGAUAACUCCGGGAAACCGGAGCUAAUACCGGAUAACACCGAAGACCGCAUGGUCUUUGGUUGAAAGGCGGCUUCGGCUGCCACUUACGGAUGGGCCCGCGGCGCAUUAGCUAGUUGGUGAGGUAACGGCUCACCAAGGCGACGAUGCGUAGCCGGCCGGAGAGGGUGACCGGCCACACUGGGACUGAGACACGGCCCAGACUCCUACGGGAGGCAGCAGUAGGGAAUCUUCCGCAAGAGACGAAAGUCUGACGGAGCGACGCCGCGUGAGCGAAGAAGGUCUUCGGAUCGUAAAGCUCGGUUGUUAGGGAAGAAGAAGCGUCGUUCGAACAGGGCGGCGCGGUGACGGUACCUAACGAGAAAGCCCCGGCUAACUACGUG